CAGCAGUGGGGAAUUUUGGGCAAUGGGCGAAAGCCUGACCCAGCAACGCCGCGUGAAGGAUGAAAUCCCUCGGGAUGUAAACUUCGCAAGAACGGGAAGAAUAAGUAGGGGACAAUACCCCCUAUGAUGACGGUACCGUUUGUAAGCUCCGGCUAACUCCGUGCCAGCAGCCGCGGUAAUACGGGGGGAGCAAGCGUUGUUCGGAUUUACUGGGCGUAAAGGGCGCGUAGGCGGUCAGCACAAGUCAAUUGUGAAAUCUCCGAGCUUAACUCGGAAAGGUCAACUGAAACUGUGCGACUAGAGUGCGGAAGGGGCAACUGGAAUUCUUGGUGUAGCGGUGAAAUGCGUAGAUAUCAAGAGGAACACCUGCGGCGAAGGCGGGUUGCUGGGCCGACACUGACGCUGAAGCGCGAAAGCCAGGGGAGCGAACGGGAUUAGAUACCCCGGUAGUCCUGGCCUUAAACGAUGAAUGCUUGGUGUCUGGGGUUAUAAAGUCCCCGGGUGCCGUCGCUAACGCUUUAAGCAUUCCGCCUGGGGAGUACGGUCGCAAGACUGAAACUCAAAGGAAUUGACGGGGACCCGCACAAGCGGUGGAGCAUGUGGUUUAAUUCGACGCAACGCGAAGAACCUUACCUGGGCUAGAAUGCCUCUGACAACCCUAGAGAUAGGGCCUCCAAGGUAAAACUUGGCAGAGUGCAAGGUGCUGCAUGGCUGUCGUCAGCUCGUGUCGUGAGAUGUUGGGUUAAGUCCCGCAACGAGCGCAACCCUUAUCUUAGUUGCCAGCAUUAAGUUGGGCACUCUAGAGAGACUGCCGUUGACAAAACGGAGGAAGGUGGGGAUGACGUCAAGUCCUCAUGGCCUUUAUGUCCAGGGCUACACACGUGCUACAAUGGCCGGUACAAACCGCCGCAAACUCGCAAGAGGGAGCCAAUCGGAAAGAGCCGGUCUCAGUUCGGAUUGGAGUCUGCAACUCGACUCCAUGAAGUUG
rnacentral:rRNA from 1 species